rnacentral:rRNA from 1 species
ACGGAAGGCAGCAGUGAGGAAUAUUGGUCAAUGGACGGAAGUCUGAACCAGCCAAGUCGCGUGAAGGAUGAAGGUAUUAUGUAUUGUAAACUUCUUUAGCAGUGGAGUAAUAAGGGGAUCGUGAUCCCUGAUGCAAGUACACUGAGAAUAAGGAUCGGCUAACUCCGUGCCAGCAGCUGCGGUAAUACGGAGGAUCCGAGCGUUAUCCGGAUUUAUUGGGUUUAAAGGGUGCGCAGGCGGCUUUUUAAGUCAGUGGUUAAAUCGUGACGCUCAACGUCAUCACGCCAUUGAUACUGGAGAGCUUGAUUGCGGUCGAGGUUUGCGGAAUUCGUUGUGUAGCGGUGAAAUGCAUAGAUAUGACGAAGAACACCGAUUGCGUAGGCAGCAGACCAGGCCGUAAAUGACGCUCAUGCACGAAAGUGCGGGGAUCGAACAGGAUUAGAUACCCUGGUA